rnacentral:lncRNA from 1 species
GUUCCCACCCCCCUGCGCUUGGCCCACUAACACACAAAUCCAUUUCAUUUUAUUUUCUUUCUUUAAUUCAUUUUUUAUUUUCUGUUUUGUCUUUUAAUUAAUAAAAAUAUUUUAUUUAUUCCUAAAAAUACCAAAAAAUAUUUUUUACUUUCCUUAAUGUUUUAUUUAAUUUAUUUAAUUUUUAUUUUCAUAUUUUAUUUAAUGUU